GAGAAACUUAAUUACCAUUUAAAGUUGUUCCGAAGGGAGCUCUGCCUGUGGUUUAGCUCUGCCUCUGAGCCUUACAUGUCACAGUCUAUCGUGGAGGGAAGUCAGACUUGGACUUCAGACAGAAGCCUGAGGCAGGAACUGAAGCUGAAACGGUGGGAAAAUGCUGCUUGCUGGCUUGCCAGAGGAGCAAAGGUUCCUGAAAGCUGUGUAAGCCAUGCAAACAGCAGCAGGACUUAAAGGCUCAAGGAAGCUGAGUGGACCACUAGAUCUUACCAUGUUGUGCUUCUGGGUAGCAGAGCAAUCCUCGGGAGUGCUGAGCGACCUCCAUAAACACCAAGUGACCUCUGGGGUGACAGGAACCGUGGCCCUGACUGCACCAUGAAGAGCAAACAUCUGAGUCUUGGAUCUGCUGGCACCUGGAAGAUUGAU